UCUCUGGUAGUAUAUCGGUUAGUACACGCGCCUGUCAUUUGUUGAUUUUCGCGCGAAAGCUGGGUUCGACUCCCAGCCAGAGAG